rnacentral:lncRNA from 1 species
AAAGGAAAGGGGAGGAAUAGAAGAGGGUGUGGUACUCUUUUCUCCACCACACCCCACCCCUGGAGUCGCGCACUCCAGUCCACUGCGGCUCAGGGGAGCACAGCGGGUCCCCUUGCUCACCUCGGAGCAGCCUGGCCCAAAGACCAGCCACCCGGCGCUCUCUGCAGAAAACUUCCCUUAAAGCAGGCAAAUAUUCAGGGGAGGCGGACGAAAUCAGGGGUUAGUUCGAAUAUACAUUCCACGGAGCUCCACGGAGCAAGACUGAAAGGCACCUUUCUGGACCCUACAGACCCGCACCCUCCACUCCCUCCCACCUUGGGUAGGUGGCUGAGAAUUUACAGAGAAUCUGGGGCGAGAGGAGAGUGGAGAAAGAGGACAUUACCUGCCGGGACUGUCCUUAGGGCGCGGGCCAGGAUCGCAUCCCCGAAGUGGCUCUCGCUCAGGACGCCGCUUUCCGGAGCUCAGCCGGGAUUCGGACCCGCGUGCCCGAAGCUCUGCGCGCAGCCGGGAGGCGCGCCGGGACUCCCGCUCCGGUACCCCGCCCCAGCCGGGCUCGCCUCCCGCGGCCGCGCCCGCUCCGCCGCCCCGCGGGCGCGCUCGCUCCCCGCGCUCGCCCUCCGCCUCCCGGCGCCCCCACACCCACCGGCGCCGUGGCGCCCGCUGGGAGCCUCUAGCGGAGGCGAAGGGAAGCGCAGCCGACCCGCGGCGCCAGGGCUCCGACGCCCGCUGCAGCGAGCCAGCCAGGCGGCGGCGUGGGUUUCGCGCGCCCCUCAGUCGGCUGGCCGGAGGCCGCCGCCGCCCCCACCUGCCCACCUGCGCCGGGCUCACCUGCCGCCGCGUCCGAGCGGCGUUCGCCGGUGCCCACAGCGCUCUAGGGCAACGACGGGGUGGGUCUGCGGUGCUGAUGGAAAAAAACCAAAAGACCUCUCCGGAAACACACACACAAAUCCACGCUGUAAAUCAGCCUGGACACACGACCCAGCUCGAUACUUAUUUCCAGUAGGUUCCAAAAAGUGUAAAGGCAGGACACUCCCUUCGGCUUGCUGCCUCCCACCUGGGCACCGGCGGCACUGGCUACUCCCCGACCAGCCCGCCCGGAGCCUUUCGCGCAGGUUGUGCAACCGCGUGGCGACGCCCGGAGAGAUCAUCCUAACUUGGCUUAACCUCCCACCCCAUCCCCGACAUCGCUAUUUUAAGUUAUUCUUCUUUCUGGCAAUGCAGGCAGUGGUCAGUCAGCAAUUUGCUGACUCUUACCUUGAGACGCUGUUAAUUCUCUUUCAUGUCCUUAAAAUCCAAAGCCAAGGAUGCAACGCACGCAAGUCCAGAAGCUUUUCCUUGACUCCCCCAGCCUCAGCUCUGCCGGCUUUUCCUUCCAAAGAGAUCAGGAGGGGAUGGCGGCUUAGUAGCCCUCGCCCUGGGGGCGCCUCCAAAUCUUCACGCCGGUGGAUACAGAGACCGGGACAACCUUCCCGGCAUCCGAAGCCCCCUCGGUCAACUUGGCUUUCUAUUUAA